UAGCACAGAGGAGCUUGCUCCUUGGGUGACGAGUGCCUGGACGGGUGAGUAAUGUCUGGGAAACUGCCCGAUGGAGGGGGAUAACUACUGGAAACGGUAGCUAAUACCGCAUAACGUCGCAAGACCAAAGAGGGGGACCUUCGGGCCUCUUGCCAUCGGAUGUGCCCAGAUGGGAUUAGCUAGUAGGUGGGGUAACGGCUCACCUAGGCGACGAUCCCUAGCUGGUCUGAGAGGAUGACCAGCCACACUGGAACUGAGACACGGUCCAGACUCCUACGGGAGGCAGCAGUGGGGAAUAUUGCACAAUGGGGGAAACCCUGAUGCAGCCAUGCCGCGUGUGUGAAGAAGGCCUUCGGGUUGUAAAGCACUUUCAGCGAGGAGGAAAGGUCAGUAGCUAAUAUCUGCUGACUGUGACGUUACUCGCAGAAGAAGCACCGGCUAACUCCGUGCCAGCAGCCGCGGUAAUACGGAGGGUGCAAGCGUUAAUCGGAAUUACUGGGCGUAAAGCGCACGCAGGCGGUUGGAUAAGUUAGAUGUGAAAGCCCCGGGCUCAACCUGGGAAUUGCAUUUAAAACUGUCCAGCUAGAGUCUUGUAGAGGGGGGUAGAAUUCCAGGUGUAGCGGUGAAAUGCGUAGAGAUCUGGAGGAAUACCGGUGGCG
rnacentral:rRNA from 1 species